AGCAGCCGCGGUAAUUCCAGCUCCAAUAGCGUAUAUUAAAGUUGUUGCAGUUAAAAAGCUCGUAGUUGAAUUUCGGGGUCUGUCCAUCGGUCGGGCUUUACGGUCCGUACUGGUGAGAUGGGUUCCUACCUUCUGAAUAACCGGCAUGCCAUUUAGUUGGUGCGCCGGGGAAGCAGAGCUAUUACCUUGAAAAAAUUAGAGUGCUUAAAGCAGGCUAGUGCUUGAAUAGAUUAGCAUGGAAUAAUAAAAUAGGACGGCAUGGUUCUAUUUUGCUGGUUUCUAGGAUCACCGUAAUGAUUAAUAGGGAUAGUUGGGGGCAUUAGUAUUCAAUUGUCAGAGGUGAAAUUCUUGGAUUUAUUGAAGACUAACUUCUGCGAAAGCAUUUGCCAAGGAUGUUUUCAUUAAUCAAGAACGAAAGUUAGGGGAUCGAAGACGAUCAGAUACCGUCGUAGUCUUAACCAUAAACUAUGCCGACUAGGGAUCGGACGAUGUUAAUUUUUUAAUGACUCGUUCGGCGCCUUACG
rnacentral:rRNA from 1 species